AAAAAAAAGGAAGCGAGAUUUGUAUUAACUGGAGCAAUGUAUAGGAUUUUGUAUCUAGAUAGGUUAAACCGUCCACCUAUGAAAUGGGGUAUGUUCCCAAGGUGUAAGGCUUGGUCGGUUGGAGAUGUAAAUAUUGCAAAGAAUGACGAUGAAACCGUUAAGGGGGACUAUGGGAAGAUUGGGUGCAUUGAUGUGGCUUAUGGGGAGAGGCAUCCUCUUAUGGCUAGGGACAGUUUUGGUCCACAAUCUAUGGCGUACGAGGUA